UCUUAACUGUUCAUAAUCUCAAGAACAACACCAAACAUCUACUCCAACAAGCCUAAGUAAUAAACUUCCAUGACAGAUUACAGAAUCAACCAAGUUUAAAACUUCAGAUAUACAUCGAAUUACUGCUGAAGAAAACAGAGGAUCAUCAACUUGGACGUCUGCCAUUUAUUUCUGAAAUUCUGAAAGCUUUACCUUAUCCAAGAACAAGGCAACGGAAGCUUGAUUGACACCAGCAAUUCCAUGACCAGGUGUUUAGGAUCAGGAUGCC
rnacentral:lncRNA from 1 species